rnacentral:rRNA from 1 species
UACGUAGGGUGCGAGCGUUAAUCGGAAUUACUGGGCGUAAAGCGCGUGUAGGCGGCUUGUUAAGUCGGGUGUGAAAUCCCUCAGCUCAACUGAGGAAGUGCGCCCGAAACUGGCGAGCUUGAGUGCCGGAGAGGAUGGCGGAAUACCCCAAGUAGAGGUGAAAUUCGUAGAUAUGGGGUGGAACACCGGUGGCGAAGGCGGCCAUCUGGACGGUAACUGACGCUGAGACGCGAAAGCGUGGGUAGCAAACAGG